rnacentral:rRNA from 1 species
UACGGGGGGGGCAAGCGUUGUUCGGAAUUACUGGGCGUAAAGGGCUCGUAGGUGGCCAACUAAGUCAGACGUGAAAUCCCCAGGCUCAACUUGGGAACUGCGUCUGAUACUGGAUGGCUUGAAUUCGGGAGAGGGAUGCAGAAUUCCAGGUGUAGCGGUGAAAUGCGUAGAGAUCAUGAGGAAGACCAGUGGCGAAGGCGGGUCUCUGGACAGUUCCUGACACUGAGGCACGAAGGCCAGGGGAGCAAACGGG